rnacentral:rRNA from 1 species
GACGAACGCUGGCGGCGUGCCUAAUACAUGCAAGUUGAGCGCUGAAGGUUGGUACUUGUACCAACUGGAUGAGCAGCGAACGGGUGAGUAACGCGUGGGGAAUCUGCCUUUGAGCGGGGGACAACAUUUGGAAACGAAUGCCAAUACCGCAUAAAAACUUUAAACACAAGUUUUAAGUUUGAAAGAUGCAAUUGCAUCACUCAAAGAUGAUCCCGCGUUGUAUUAGCUAGUUGGUGAGGUAAAGGCUCACCAAGGCGAUGAUACAUAGCCGACCUGAGAGGGUGAUCGGCCACAUUGGGACGGAGACACGGCCCAAACUCCUACGGGAGGCAGCAGUAGGGAAUCUUCGGCAAUGGACGAAAGUCUGACCGAGCAACGCCGCGUGAGUGAAGAAGGUUUUCGGAUCGUAAAACUCUGUUGGUAGAGAAGAACGUUGGUGAGAGUGGAAAGCUCAUCAAGUGACGGUAACUACCCAGAAAGGGACGGCUAACUACGUG